rnacentral:rRNA from 1 species
GACGAACGCUGGCGGCGUGCUUAACACAUGCAAGUCGAACGGAAAGGCCCUGCUUUUGUGGGGUGCUCGAGUGGCGAACGGGUGAGUAACACGUGAGUAACCUGCCCUUGACUUUGGGAUAACUUCAGGAAACUGGGGCUAAUACCGGAUAGGAGCUCCUGCUGCAUGGUGGGGGUUGGAAAGUUUCGGCGGUUGGGGAUGGACUCGCGGCUUAUCAGCUUGUUGGUGGGGUAGUGGCUUACCAAGGCUUUGACGGGUAGCCGGCCUGAGAGGGUGACCGGCCACAUUGGGACUGAGAUACGGCCCAGACUCCUACGGGAGGCAGCAGUGGGGAAUAUUGCACAAUGGGCGGAAGCCUGAUGCAGCAACGCCGCGUGCGGGAUGACGGCCUGCGGGUUGUAAACCGCUUUCGCCUGUGACGAAGCGUGAGUGACGGUAAUGUGUAAAGAAGCACCGGCUAACUACAUG